AACUCAGAGGUAUUGGUCUGACAUUCCCCAUUUUCCCAAUGAGGAAUCUGGGGCUUUGCCAGGUUAGCAACAUGCCUGAGGUCACCCAGCUGCAGGUGGCAGAGCUGGCGCUCAAAUCCAGGCUGUCCUGCACCUGCAGCCACAACUCCAUUCCCAUGACCUGCUCAGCCCACACAUGGAGUGCAUCUGUGGUCCUCAGCAGAGGGCAGCCUAGUUUGCACAGGGUUUCCGGUGCCUCAUCCCAAAGCGUCUGAACCCACAGGACACGAAGCACAUCGCAUGGCUCUGUGCAGCCCUCCAGAGUGGGCUCUGAGCCCAGCUGGGUAUGCCGGGCUCUGCAGGAGCCCCCUUGGCCCCCAGCGCCCCUCUCCCAGGGGAGGCAGGGGUGGGAGGCUGCAGCUGUACGCUUUCCCCUUCUCCCCACACGGGGAUACCUGAGGUCGGGGCGAUGCUGCAGCAGCACGUGCUGUGCCAGGAAGUGCGCCAGACCUGGCCUGGAGCCGGGGAGGUGCCGGGCAAGUGGACGCUGCAGCUCCACUUUGGAAUUCCAGGCACAUCCAGAGGCUGUGGGGUUGAAGCCAGGAUGCACGGCCGAAAGAGGCCAGAGCAGACACCCCCCGGCACCUGCUGCGGCACUGGCAGUAGGGUGGGUGCUGUGGGUGCCUAAGGGACCCCCGCCUGGCCUUUACCCCUGUUCUCAUGCCCCCCAGGGCUCCCUGCCCCCUGCCUGCAGGAUCACAGCUCCACAGCUCAGUUCUGUGGCUCAGUGCCUCAGCCUUCAGGUCCUGUUUUUGAGCCCCCAGUGGGGGGGCCUACCUGGCGGGUGGAUGCUCCCUUGAAGAAUCCAGGCAUGGCCGAUUCCUCCCUGUAGGUCCAGGCCCAGACCAGGAAAUGGAACGUAACAUGUUCAUUGUGUCCCAAACACCAGAAAAGCACUGAAUAUCUGAGUGUGAUUGGCUUGAUUUUUAUAGAUGGAAACUGAGGCUACCCAGCUCCUGAGGAGCGAAGCAGUGCUGACCCAUCACCAG